UACGGGGGGGCGGAAGCGUUGUUCGGAAUUACUGGGCGUAAAGGGCUCGUAGGCGGCCAACUAAGUCCGACGUGAAAUCCCCAGGCUUAACCUGGGAACUGCGUCGGAUACUGGAUGGCUUGAAUUCGGGAGAGGGAUGCAGAAUUCCAGGUGUAGCGGUGAAAUGCGUAGAUAUCUGGAGGAAUACCGGUGGCGAAGGCGGCAUCCUGGACCGACAUUGACGCUGAUGCGCGAAAGCUAGGGGAGCAAACGGG
rnacentral:rRNA from 1 species